GAGAGAGGAGCAUGUGUUGACGAAACUGUCAAAUUCUAUUGCGGCUGCUCUUUUAACGUUGGAGAAUUCAGCAAUCAUGUCCCUCAAUGCUGGUAGUCCCAACAACAGGUACUCUUUGUUUCUCUCUUCCGUCAAUGUGUCUGAAUUCAAAUCACUGUUUAUCCUUCUUUGACUGUCACUUCUUUCCAUACUAUGGUUCCGAUUAAGUACACGACGUCUACCUUCUGAUCGAACUACUUGUUCUACAACAAAGUGAAGUAGAGUAGUCUUCCCGUCUGUGCUUUUAACAUCGGAAAGCUUUCUAAGAGCAGUAAGGUUGAAACCUUGUGCAUUGCCUCUGGAUGUUCCAGCAUUCAUCCUGUUGCCAGCCUUGAGAAUGGCUUCAAGAAGUUUUAAGAAGAGGCCACGGGUUCGUAGCUCUUUGCACCCCGAUUCAAGUGUUUGUAAGGACUCCUUUAGAUGAAGAAUUUCUGAAUCAUAAUUUGAUCUGAAAAGCAUUGCAUUGAUACGGAUGAAUGCCGAAGGAAUAGCCUUCAGGAUGUGGUGAAGGAAAGAUUCAGCAUCUGCAAGUUUAGAUGGGUUGCCCCUGUAUUGGGUGAUUUUGACUGCUUCUUCUUGAGUCGGGGAAAUUCUGGUAAGCUUUUCGAGGACAUCUGUAUUAAGUCCAUGACCCUCGAGAAGAGCAUCAAGAAUUUCUUUGCGAGAAAUUGCUAAAGAUUUUAGUACAAUUGCUGUGUUUUGAGACUUCCUUGGUUCAAGGAUGAAAACUUGAGUAGCUGGGGUAGGGUUGGAGCUGCUUCUACUUGAUGAAACUUCAUUUCUGAGAAGGAUUUUGUUAUUGGCAGUUGUAUAUCCAAACAAUGUUUCUAUUAGGUCGUCAUCAAAUCUGACAGAAAAAUGGGAAAAUGAUGGAUCAGAGAAAUAUCGACCUAAGAAAUGCAAUGUGCUCCGAAAAGAAAAACUAAUAUUUUAAAAUUCAGAGGGAAACCUGAGAGAGCCAUUAUUAAUCUCAUCCCAAACCACUGAAUGAUCAACAUCGGCUGUUACUUUAUCCCAGUGCAGUGGCUUUAGUUUUGUAUGCCCACUGCUAGUCCCUCUCAAGCUUCCCUCUGUUGGAGCCCAUUCCCUGCUCUUGCUAUUUAAUUUCCCUCUUGGAACUGGUGGAGGUUUCAGUAAUGAGAUUAAACCGCCUAUUUUAGGUGGUGGGGGUGGUGAUGCAGGAUUUUUCUUUGUUAUAAGUGGUGGUUUUGUUGAUGUAGGCGGAGGCGGAGGCGGAGGCGGAGGAGGCGGUGGUGGAUGAGGCGGAGGCGGAGGCGGCGGUGGUGGUGGUGGUGGGAUUUUCUUUCUUGGAGGGGAUUGUAGAGGAGGUAAUUUUGGACUUUCCAUUUCUGUAACUGAUGCUGUAGGUUCUCCAUUUCGCAAAACUGGUUCUGUUACUUUCCCAUGACCAAUUCCAUAAGAUGAAAGCAAAACUUCCUGUGGCUCAUACUUUUUUAAUUGCUCUGCUAUCACAUCCACCCUCUUUUCUUCCCCUUCUUCUUCAUAGCUAGGGUUCAGCGUAACCUUUGAGAAAGUGUUUUUGGGUUUCCUGUCAAAACUUUUUACAUAAAGCAAACCCUGCCCAUUUUCAUCGAAGGUAAACUUUUUCACUUUUCUGCUAACUUUUUUGAGCUCGUCACUAGUUGCCAUAACUUUUUCCCGCUUUUUGGUAAAUUUCAAGUAGAUAAAGAAGAAGAUCACAGCAAUGGCCAGAGUGAUUGCAGCUGUGACAACAAUGGCUGCCACAACUUUUCCAUUUGACGAUGAGGACUCCUCCAUUGCCUGUUUCCGGGCAGGAGGUCCCAAGAGUUGAGGCAUCAGUCUCUCCCUAUCAUGAUCGGGAGAGACUGCUUCAUAACUUGCAGAUCUUAUCAUUGAACUUGCAGGUGAAGAAUCAAAUGCAGGAGAAAUUUCUGUCUUCUGUGAGGAGUUUUGUUUACAAUAAGAAUGAGAAAGGGGAGGGGAGAAAAACAGUAAGAAAAUGAGACAUGGAUGGAACCGCGGCUGGACCAUC
rnacentral:lncRNA from 1 species